UGUGGGAAAUGAUGCGAUUCAAAAACAUAUAUCAGAGGCAUCACUAUUGUGUGAGCCAUGCUGGAUGUUUUUCGCACGUCAGUCUGAUCCCAAC
rnacentral:snoRNA from 1 species